rnacentral:rRNA from 1 species
GACGUAGGGUGCAAGCGUUAAUCGGAAUUACUGGGCGUAAAGCGUGCGCAGGCGGUUGUGUAAGACAGAUGUGAAAUCCCCGGGCUCAACCUGGGAACUGCAUUUGUGACUGCACAGCUGGAGUGCGGCAGAGGGGGAUGGAAUUCCGCGUGUAGCAGUGAAAUGCGUAGAUAUGAGGAAGAACACCCGUGGCGAAGGCGGCUCUCUAGUACGGUACUGACGCUGAGACGCGAAAGCGUGGGGAGCGAACAGG